CACGUGGGUAAUCUACCUUCCGGCGGGGGACGAACAGUCCGAAAGGAUUGCUAAUACCGCAUACGUCAGUGGCGCCUACGGGCGCUGUUGGGAAAGAUGGCCUCUCCUUGGAAGCUAUCACCGGAAGAUGAGCCCGCGUCCCAUCAGCUAGUUGGUGAGGUAACGGCUCACCAAGGCUAAGACGGGUAGCUGGUCUGAGAGGAUGAUCAGCCACACUGGGACUGCGACACGGCCCAGACUCCUACGGGAGGCAGCGAGUGGGGAAUAUUGGGCAAUGGGCGAAAGCCUGACCCAGCCACG
rnacentral:rRNA from 1 species